CAUCGUCGGCUCGUCCAAGGUCCCCGCGAGGGGAUAACAGGGAACUCGGUUCAGUCCGAGGCUGCCCCCGCAACUGUAAGCGGUGACGGCUGCCCAUCAUGCCACUGGCGGAAGCUGGGAAGGCGGGGCUGCCGGUUCGACCCGCGAGCCAGGAGACCUACCUUGGAAGUGAUGUGCCA
rfam:Acetobacteraceae bacterium SCN 69-10 ABS99_C0024, whole genome shotgun sequence.